AUUGAACGCUGGCGGCAUGCUUUACACAUGCAAGUCGAACGGUAACAGGUCUUCGGAUGCUGACGAGUGGCGAACGGGUGAGUAAUGCAUCGGAACGUGCCCAGUCGUGGGGGAUAACGCAGCGAAAGCUGUGCUAAUACCGCAUACGAUCUAUGGAUGAAAGCGGGGGAUCGCAAGACCUCGCGCGAUUGGAGCGGCCGAUGUCAGAUUAGCUAGUUGGUGGGGUAAAGGCCCACCAAGGCGACGAUCUGUAGCUGGUCUGAGAGGACGACCAGCCACACUGGGACUGAGACACGGCCCAGACUCCUACGGGAGGCAGCAGUGGGGAAUUUUGGACAAUGGGCGCAAGCCUGAUCCAGCAAUGCCGCGUGCAGGAAGAAGCAUCUAUGGUGUGUAAACUGCUUUUGUACGGGAAGAAACACUCCUACGUGUAGGAGCUUGACGGUACCGUAAGAAUAAGGAU
rnacentral:rRNA from 1 species